rnacentral:rRNA from 1 species
AAGCACCGGCUAACUCUGUGCCAGCAGCCGCGGUAAUACAGAGGGUGCAAACGUUGUUCGGAAUUACUGGGCAUAAAGCGCGCGUAGGCGGCUUCGUAAGUGUGGAGUGAAAUCCCACGGCUCACCCGUGGAACUGCUUCGCAUACUGCGAGGCUAGAGUAUGGUAGGGGAGAGCAGAACUCCUGGUGGAGCGGUGAAAUGCGUAGAUAUCAGGAGGAAUACCGGUGGCGAAGGCGGCUCUCUGGUCCGUUACUGACGCUGAGGUGCGAAAGCUAGGGUAGCGAACGGGAUUAGAUACCCCGGUAGUCCUAGCCGUAAACGAU